rnacentral:lncRNA from 1 species
GAAACUACGAGGAUUGGGACAAAACCUAGACGCAACGACAUUACAGGACCAUGUUUUUGAGAAAGCUGCCAUAAGUAGGAAUGAGGGUUUAAGCUAUCAAAUUGAUGCAAGUUGCCUAUGAAUGGAAGACCCUUUGGACCAGGUGGCAAAUGAAGAUUUCUUUUGGUUUUGAGUUUUCGGAGAAGAAAUGAAAGAAGGAAUGGAAGAGCUAACAGGAGAAGUAAAAGCAAAACCAUUUUGUGUGUUUCAAAUCUGAAUAUGAGAUAUUAUAAAAAGGAGACCACUGGUUACAUAUAUAUAAAUACAGAUCUUUUCCUUUGUUGGAGCAGCUGACGAAACUCGUAUUGCUCCAAAGAAGAAUUAUUUGUUAAGUUGCUUUCACUUGCACGGAGCACAAAAUUCUUAAAACACGACAGUGUGUAUGAAAAUGAACAAUUUGACAUUACAGCCCAGCCAAAUACUAUAUAUAUUGGUAGAAUUGAUAACACAAGACUGGAUUUCAGAAGCUGCCACUCAAUCUUAUCUCACAGAAAGACUUUAUCUAUCUUACAGAAAGAUUUUUCUCGCAAACCCACUUGUCAGGUAUAAUUUUCUAACUCCAACAUCUAAUAAUUCAAAAUAGUUAAGAAAGAAUUGUUAUUAAGUCUUUGACUGUUUAAAAAAUUUAUUAUUUCAUUGUUAUUUUAAAAUCAUUCAAUAUAUUCUUUAUUAUUGUAGUAAAAAAAUUGUUCAUCAAUUUAUUUUAAUAUUCAUCAAAAGAAAUAAAUAGUAUGAAUAUUUAAAAUUUUAAAAAUUAAAUAAUAUAUAAUUAAAAUUAAUAAAAUUAAAUAUUAUAAAUAAUUUAAAACUUUUUUAAUAGAAUUAAAGAAUUGAAUUUUAUAAAAUACUAUAUUGGUAGAAUUGAUAGCACAAGACUAGAUUUCAGACAUUAUGGUUUACUAUUAUUUUAGUGAGUUCAAUCUUAUGUCACGAAAAGAUUUUUUCUCACAAACUCACUAGUUGGUAUAAUUUUCUAACUCAGUGAUAGCAAUUGUAAUAUCUACCUAAAUCUAUUAAAUAAUUUGUAAAAUAUCUGUUCACAUGAGUUAAAAUAGUUAUGGAAAGUUACUUUCAGAUCCCUAAAUUUUUAAAAAAUUCAUUACUUUUAUUUUUAUUUUAAAAUCAUUUAAUUAAAAUAUUUUUUAUUUUAUAAAAUUAAACUCUUUAAUUUUUCUGUCAAAAAAUAAUUAAUCCAUUUAUUAUAAUUUUAUCAACAUAAUUAAAUAGAUGAAUAUUUAAAAUUUUAAAAAUUAAAUAAUACAUAUGAUUAAAAUUAUAAAAAUUAAACAUUAUAAAUCAUUCAAGACAAUUAAUAAUUUUUUAAUAAAAAGAUUAAAAAAUUAAAUUUUACAAAAUAUAAAAACAUUAAUCAAGUAAUAUAUAGUGUAAUUUUGACGUUAACUCAAGGAUUUAUUUAUUUAAUAAUUAAUUUAAAUUAUUUAAUAAUUUUAAACAAAUUAUUAUAUACUUUGCAAAAUUCCUGAUAUGGAAAUUAAUCCCACCGCCAUGGGUGUGACGGCCAUGACCAAGACCUUGCCAUUGUUUCUUUGUCUGUAUUGGAUUUAGGAGCUUUUAUACACGUAUGAUCAACUUGAUGACUACGAAGACAAAUCCUUGCCACCGUUCCGUUUUUAUUUUGGAUCAGAAAUAAGUCCAUUUAAAACUUUCGUAAUUUUGUUUGAAUGCCAAACAAUUCAACUUAUUUUUUUAUCAUUAAAUUUUGUAUUGGCAGAAAAUAAUUUAUCUUUAAAAUAUUUUUAAUAAAAUAACAUAUUUUUUAUUAUUUAAUUUUAAUAUAAAAGUAAAAUAUAUUAAUAAAUUUAUAUAUAACCAUUUAAUAAAAUUUUCAUAAAAUAUAAAAAAUAAUUUCCUAAUAAAAAAUUAUUUUUUAAAAUAUUUUUUUUAUAGAUUAAAUUUAAAUAAAGAAUGUGAAAAAUUAUUUUUUUAAAAAAUAUUUUUCAUAAAACAAUAAAAGCUAUAAAGAAAGAGAAUCACAAAAUUUAAAAAUGAAAAUCCAUGUAUUUCAUUUUCAGAAAUGUGAAAAUAAAUCACAAAAUUUGAGAAUGAAAAUUUUUGUGUUUCAUUGUGAGGAAUGUAAAAAUAUACACACCAGAUUCACUCUUAUUUAGGAAAAUCUUAAAAAUAUAAAAUUUCCUAUAUGAUACAAACUAAACUUCUUAUGUUGUAUAAACUAAACUUUUUAUACACACAAGACAAAGAAAAAAAGAAAAGAUAUUCACAUAGAACAAGUCGGUAGAACGUCAAGAUGGCAGACAGGUUGGUAGGACCCAAGAUGGCAAACAGGUCAAUAUAGGUCGAUAGGUCGUCAAGACUUCUGGUCAACAGGUCGGAUCAUCAGGACGCCUAGUUGACAUGUUCCAAUACCCCCCUCAAGAUGGAGCAUGAAGGUUCCGAAUGCCCAACUUGCUAAGGAGAAAAUGAAAUUGAUUUUUGCCUGAGGCCUUGGUGAAAAUAUUAGUUAGUUGCACCGAAUUGCGGACGUAGAGAGUGCGAAUGUUGCACAAUAGAUUUCAUUGCGAAUAAAGUGGCAGUCCACUUCAAUGUGACACACCAAGAGAGAUCAGUAGGCCUUUCAGUAGGUGAGUAAUCUGUAACAAAAAAACCCAAGAACUUAUCAAUAAAACCCGAGAAAGGAAAGUAAUCUGCAACAAAAAAACACAUAAACAAGGCCUGAGCUUCUUUCAGCAACUCUUGAAAUCUACUCCUUCCAACCCCAUCUUCCUCGUACCUCUUCCCGAAAGCAACCCUACAAAUUAUAGUACUUGUAAGCGACAUCAUGGCUUCAGACAAGUUUACAGGUUUCGAGGCAACGGCUGAUUUGGAGAUCUUUUCAAGCAUAUGGGAAAGUUCAAAUUCUCUAAUGGGACGGAAACUUUGCACUCUAUUAGAGUUGAAGAGAUAAACCAUACAAAUUUUUCUUAUCUCUCUCCAAUAAGCAUUAUAAGGUGAAAAAGCCAAGUCUAAACCAUUGUACGACAACCUUUGCUGGCCAACUAAAGCAGGCCUGCUACAGAAUAUAAGAUCAUGGGUUUUCAUGACUGCUUCAGCCAUUUUGGCAGAGGAAACUACGAGGAUUGGGACAAAACCUAGACGCAACGACAUUACAGGACCAUGUUUUUGAGAAAGUUGCCAUAAGUAGGAAUGAGGGUUUAAGCUAUCAAAUUGAUGCAAGUUGCCUAUGAAUGGAAGACCCUUUGGACCAGGUGGCAAAUGAAGAUUUCUUUUGGUUUUGAGUUUUCGGAGAAGAAAUGAAAGAAGGAAU